ensembl:miRNA Mir6409 microRNA 6409
GACGAGCAAUAACAGCUAGCGCGCAUGCGUGGACCAGAGACAAAGCUGUCCCCGUGUUUACAAACUGUGCGGGUGAGGAUGUGUGCUCCUCU